rnacentral:rRNA from 1 species
GAUGAACGCUAGCGGCAGGCCUAACACAUGCAAGUCGAGGGGCAUCAUGGCGUAGCAAUACGCUGAUGGCGACCGGCGCACGGGUGCGUAACGCGUAUGGAACCUACCCACCGCAGGGGGAUAACCCGCCGAAAGGCGGACUAAUACCCCAUGGUUCCCCGACCCUGCCUGGGGUUGGGGGUAAAGCCUACGGGCGGCGGUGGAUGGCCCUGCGUGCCAUUAGCUGGCUGGUGGGUAACGGCCCACCAGGGCGACGAUGGCUAGGGGGUCUGAGAGGACGAUCCCCCACACUGGUACUGAGACACGGACCAGACUCCUACGGGAGGCAGCAGUGAGGAAUAUUGGUCAAUGGGUGGGAGCCUGAACCAGCCAAGUCGCGUGAAGGAAGAAGGAUCUAUGGUUCGUAAACUUCUUUUGCAGGGGAAUAAAGUGCAGGACGUGUCCUGUUUUGUAUGUACCCUGAGAAUAAGGAUCGGCUAACUCCGUG